ensembl:lncRNA
GGUUAGGGUUAGGGUUAGGAUUAGGGUCAGGGUUAGGUUUAAGGGUUAAGGUUUAGGGUUAGGAUUAGGAUUAGGGUUAGGGUUAGGGUUAGGGUUAGGGUUAGGGUUAAGGUUUAGGGUUAGGGUUAGGGUUAGGAUUAGGGUCAGGGUUAGGUUUAAGGUUUAGGGUUAGGAUUAGGAUUAGGGUUAGGAUUAGGAUUAGGGUUAGGGUUAAGGUUUAGGGUUAGGGUUAAGGUUAGGUUUAGGGUUAAGGUUAGGGUUAGGGUUAAGGUUAGGGUUAGGGUUAAGGUUUAGGGUUAGGAUUAGGGUCAGGGUG